CCCUUAGAUGUUCUGGGCCGCACGCGUGCCACACUGAGUGGAUCAGCGGGUCAGGUUGCGCGAAAGUGUUUCCUAAUCUUGAAAUCCGCUCGUGAUGGGGAUUGACGGUUGCAAUUUUCUGUCAUGAACGAGGAAUACCUUGUAAGCGCGGGUCAUCAUCCCGCGCUGAAUACGUCCCUGCCCUUUGUACACACCGCCCGUCGCUCCUACCGAUUGAGUGGUCCGGUGAGGCUUUGGGAUCUGGAUGGAAAGAGCGUUUCGCUGUUUCUGCCCGGAAAACUCAGUCGAACCUUAUCAUUUAGAGGAAGGAGAAGUCGUAACA
rnacentral:rRNA from 1 species